UACAGAGGUGGCAAGCGUUGUUCGGAAUUACUGGGCGUAAAGGGCGCGUAGGCGGCGAAUCAAGUCAGCUGUGAAAUCUCCGAGCUUAACUCGGAACGGUCAGCUGAUACUGUUUUGCUAGAGUGCAGAAAGGGCAACCGGAAUUCUUGGUGUAGCGGUGAAAUGCGUAGAUAUCAAGAGGAACACCUGAGGCGAAGGCGGGUUGCUAGGCUGACACUGACGCUGAAGCGCGAAAGCUAGGGUAGCAAACGGG
rnacentral:rRNA from 1 species